GCUAGCGGCAGGCUUAACACAUGCAAGUCGAGGGGUAACAGAGGUAGCUUGCUACUUGCUGACGACCGGCGCACGGGUGCGUAACGCGUAUAGAAUCUACCUUGUACUAGGGGAUAGCCUUUGGAAACGAAGAUUAAUACCCUAUAGUAAGUAUUUAUGGCAUCAUUUAUACUUUAAAGGUUACGGUACAAGAUGACUAUGCGUCCUAUUAGUUUGUUGGUGAGGUAACGGCUCACCAAGACUUCGAUAGGUAGGGGCCCUGAGAGGGGGAUCCCCCACACUGGUACUGAGACACGGACCAGACUCCUACGGGAGGCAGCAGUGAGGAAUAUUGGACAAUGGAGGCAACUCUGAUCCAGCCAUGCCGCGUGCAGGAUGACGGCCCUAUGGGUUGUAAACUGCUUUUAUGUAGGAAGAAACACUCUCACGUGUGAGAGCUUGACGGUACUACAAGAAUAAGGACCGGCUAACUCCGUGCCAGCAGCCGCGGUAAUACGGAGGGUCCAAGCGUUAUCCGGAAUCAUUGGGUUUAAAGGGUCCGUAGGCGGGCUAUUAAGUCAGAGGUGAAAGUUUGCAGCUCAACUGUAAAAUUGCCUUUGAAACUGGUAGUCUUGAAUUAUUAUGAAGUGGUUAGAAUA
rnacentral:rRNA from 1 species